rnacentral:rRNA from 1 species
GCUCAUAUAGUCAAAAUAAGAAGGGACGUGCUAUAUCCGAAACGUACGAAAUAUAGUAAAUAUUUUAAAUGCAGAUGUAGUAGGGGUCGCAAACCGGAUGGUACACAACUUGGUUUUGGAAGAUAUGGCACCAAAAGUUGUAGAGCUGGUCGUCUUUCAUAUCGAGCCAUUGAAGCAGCGCAUCGAGCUACAAUCGGACAAUUCCAUCGUGCUAUGAGCGGACAAUUCCAAAGAAAUUGUAAGAUACGUGUAACAGUUCACGCUGAUCUUCCUAUUAUGGGGAAACCCGAAGAAGGUCGAAUGGGAAGAGGAAAAGGAAAUCCGACGGGUUGGAUUGCUCGUGUGUCCACGGGAAAAAUCCCAUUUGAAAUGGAUGGUGUGAGUUUGUCAAAUGCUCGACAAGCCGCUAGAUUAGCGGCGCAUAAACCAUAUUCGUCAACCAAGUUUGUUCAGUGGUCGUAA